rnacentral:rRNA from 1 species
GAGGAAUAUUGGUCAAUGGGCGAGAGCCUGAACCAGCCAAAUCGCGUGAAGGAAGACUGCCUUAUGGGUUGUAAACUUCUUUUAUACAGGAAUAAAAAAGGGGACGUGUCCCUUAUUGCAUGUACUGUAUGAAUAAGCAUCGGCUAACUCCGUGCCAGCAGCCGCGGUAAUACGGAGGAUGCGAGCGUUAUCCGGAUUUAUUGGGUUUAAAGGGUGCGCAGGCGGGCUUUUAAGUCAGCGGUGAAAUCUCGGGGCUUAACCGUGGUAAGCAUUUGAAACUGGAAGGCUUGAGUUAAGGAGAGGAAAGUGGAAUUCCUAGUGUAGCGGUGAAAUGCGUAGAUAUUAGGAGGAAUACCAGUGGCGAAGGCGACUUUCUGGACUUAUACUGACGCUGAUGCACGAAAGCGUGGGGAGCGAACA